AGGUGAUGGGCGAACAGGAUCGGCUGCGCGCGCUGCAGGUGCGUGUAGCCCGGCACGAUCGUGUCGAGGUUCGCCUUC
rnacentral:tRNA from 1 species